rnacentral:misc_RNA from 1 species
GAUGAAGAACGUAGUGAAAUGCGAUAAGUAGUGUGAAUUGCAGAAUUCAGUGAAUCAUCGAAUCUUUGAACGCACAUUGCGCCCCUUGGUAUCCCGAGGGGCAUGCCUGUUCGAGCGUCAUUUCACCACUCAAGCCUGGCUUGGUGUUGAGCGACGUCCCCUUUGGGGACGCGCCUCGAAACGCUCGGCGGCGUGGCACCGGCUUUAAGCGUAGCAGAAUCUUUCGCUUUGGAAGUCGGGGCCCCGUCUGCCGGAAGACCUACUCGCAAGGUUGACCUCGGAUCAGGCAGGGAUACCCGCUGAACUUAAGCAUAUCAAAAGCGGAGGA